AACGGUCUAUACCUGCGGUACCUGCGGAGGGAUCAUUAACGAAUUGUCCACGAUAAUGGAUAAUUUUAUCCAUAUCCACCUUGUGUGAAUACAUUGAAAGUGUUGUUGGCAGGUUAACAGGUCUCAUUGCAAGAGCUGUGUGGGUUGGGCUACACCAGUAGUCUGCUCGGCCUGCCAAUUUUUAUGUUUAAACCUGUCUAAAUUGUAUGGCCUGAAACAUAUAUUUUUUAAUAAAAACAC
rnacentral:misc_RNA from 1 species